GUAACCCUUCGGGGUGAGGUGUAAUUCCUCGAUCGGUGGUAAAGCCCACGCGUUCCCCGCCACAGGCGGGAAACUGAACUGGUGAAAUUCCAGUGCCGACGGUUAAAGUCCGGAUGAGAGAAGGGAAAA
rnacentral:ncRNA from 2 species